GUGGGGAAUAUUGCACAAUGGGCGCAAGCCUGAUGCAGCAACGCCGCGUGAGGGACGACGGCCUUCGGGUUGUAAACCUCUUUUAGCAGGGAAGAAGCGAAAUUGACGGUACCUGCAGAAAAAGCACCGGCUAACUACGUGCCAGCAGCCGCGGUAAUACGUAGGGUGCAAGCGUUGUCCGGAAUUAUUGGGCGUAAAGAGCUCGUAGGCGGUUUGUCGCGUCUGCUGUGAAAACCCGAGGCUCGACCUCGGGCCUGCAGUGGGUACGGGCAGACUAGAGUUCGGUAGGGGAGAUUGGAAUUCCUGGUGUAGCGGUGGAAUGCGCAGAUAUCAGGAGGAACACCGAUGGCGAAGGCAGAUCUCUGGGCCGUAACUGACGCUGAGGAGCGAAAGCGUGGGGAGCGAACAGGAUUAGAUACCCUUGUAGUCC
rnacentral:rRNA from 1 species